rnacentral:rRNA from 1 species
GAUUAAGUUAUUAAGGGCGCACGGUGGAUGCCUUGGCACUAGAAGCCGAUGAAGGACGUUACUAACGACGAUAUGCUUUGGGGAGCUGUAAGUAAGCUUUGAUCCAGAGAUUUCCGAAUGGGGAAACCCAGCAUGAGUUAUGUCAUGUUAUCGAUAUGUGAAUACAUAGCAUAUCAGAAGGCACACCCGGAGAACUGAAACAUCUUAGUACCCGGAGGAAGAGAAAGAAAAUUCGAUUCCCUUAGUAGCGGCGAGCGAAACGGGAAGAGCCCAAACCAACAAGCUUGCUUGUUGGGGUUGUAGGACACUCUAUACGGAGUUACAAAGGACGACAUUAGACGAAUCAUCUGGAAAGAUGAAUCAAAGAAGGUAAUAAUCCUGUAGUCGAAAAUGUUGUCUCUCUUGAGUGGAUCCUGAGUACGACGGAGCACGUGAAAUUCCGUCGGAAUCUGGGAGGACCAUCUCCUAAGGCUAAAUACUCUCUAGUGACCGAUAGUGAACCAGUACCGUGAGGGAAAGGUGAAAAGCACCCCGGAAGGGGAGUGAAAUAGAACCUGAAACCGUGUGCUUACAAGUAGUCAGAGCCCGUUAAUGGGUGAUGGCGUGCCUUUUGUAGAAUGAACCGGCGAGUUACGAUUUGAUGCAAGGUUAAGCAGUAAAUGUGGAGCCGUAGCGAAAGCGAGUCUGAAUAGGGCGUUUAGUAUUUGGUCGUAGACCCGAAACCAGGUGAUCUACCCUUGGUCAGGUUGAAGUUCAGGUAACACUGAAUGGAGGACCGAACCGACUUACGUUGAAAAGUGAGCGGAUGAACUGAGGGUAGCGGAGAAAUUCCAAUCGAACCUGGAGAUAGCUGGUUCUCUCCGAAAUAGCUUUAGGGCUAGCCUCAAGUGAUGAUUAUUGGAGGUAGAGCACUGUUUGGACGAGGGGCCCCUCUCGGGUUACCGAAUUCAGACAAACUCCGAAUGCCAAUUAAUUUAACUUGGGAGUCAGAACAUGGGUGAUAAGGUCCGUGUUCGAAAGGGAAACAGCCCAGACCACCAGCUAAGGUCCCAAAAUAUAUGUUAAGUGGAAAAGGAUGUGGCGUUGCCCAGACAACUAGGAUGUUGGCUUAGAAGCAGCCAUCAUUUAAAGAGUGCGUAAUAGCUCACUAGUCGAGUGACACUGCGCCGAAAAUGUACCGGGGCUAAACAUAUUACCGAAGCUGUGGAUUGUCCUUUGGACAAUGGUAGGAGAGCGUUCUAAGGGCGUUGAAGCAUGAUCGUAAGGACAUGUGGAGCGCUUAGAAGUGAGAAUGCCGGUGUGAGUAGCGAAAGACGGGUGAGAAUCCCGUCCACCGAUUGACUAAGGUUUCCAGAGGAAGGCUCGUCCGCUCUGGGUUAGUCGGGUCCUAAGCUGAGGCCGACAGGCGUAGGCGAUGGAUAACAGGUUGAUAUUCCUGUACCACCUAUAAUCGUUUUAAUCGAUGGGGGGACGCAGUAGGAUAGGCGAAGCGUGCGAUUGGAUUGCACGUCUAAGCAGUAAGGCUGAGUAUUAGGCAAAUCCGGUACUCGUUAAGGCUGAGCUGUGAUGGGGAGAAGACAUUGUGUCUUCGAGUCGUUGAUUUCACACUGCCGAGAAAAGCCUCUAGAUAGAAAAUAGGUGCCCGUACCGCAAACCGACACAGGUAGUCAAGAUGAGAAUUCUAAGGUGAGCGAGCGAACUCUCGUUAAGGAACUCGGCAAAAUGACCCCGUAACUUCGGGAGAAGGGGUGCUCUUUAGGGUUAACGCCCAGAAGAGCCGCAGUGAAUAGGCCCAAGCGACUGUUUAUCAAAAACACAGGUCUCUGCUAAACCGUAAGGUGAUGUAUAGGGGCUGACGCCUGCCCGGUGCUGGAAGGUUAAGAGGAGUGGUUAGCUUCUGCGAAGCUACGAAUCGAAGCCCCAGUAAACGGCGGCCGUAACUAUAACGGUCCUAAGGUAGCGAAAUUCCUUGUCGGGUAAGUUCCGACCCGCACGAAAGGCGUAACGAUUUGGGCACUGUCUCAACGAGAGACUCGGUGAAAUCAUAGUACCUGUGAAGAUGCAGGUUACCCGCGACAGGACGGAAAGACCCCGUGGAGCUUUACUGUAGCCUGAUAUUGAAAUUCGGCACAGCUUGUACAGGAUAGGUAGGAGCCUUUGAAACGUGAGCGCUAGCUUACGUGGAGGCGCUGGUGGGAUACUACCCUAGCUGUGUUGGCUUUCUAACCCGCACCACUUAUCGUGGUGGGAGACAGUGUCAGGCGGGCAGUUUGACUGGGGCGGUCGCCUCCUAAAAGGUAACGGAGGCGCUCAAAGGUUCCCUCAGAAUGGUUGGAAAUCAUUCAUAGAGUGUAAAGGCAUAAGGGAGCUUGACUGCGAGACCUACAAGUCGAGCAGGGUCGAAAGACGGACUUAGUGAUCCGGUGGUUCCGCAUGGAAGGGCCAUCGCUCAACGGAUAAAAGCUACCCCGGGGAUAACAGGCUUAUCUCCCCCAAGAGUUCACAUCGACGGGGAGGUUUGGCACCUCGAUGUCGGCUCAUCGCAUCCUGGGGCUGUAGUCGGUCCCAAGGGUUGGGCUGUUCGCCCAUUAAAGCGGUACGCGAGCUGGGUUCAGAACGUCGUGAGACAGUUCGGUCCCUAUCCGUCGUGGGCGUAGGAAAUUUGAGAGGAGCUGUCCUUAGUACGAGAGGACCGGGAUGGACAUACCUCUGGUGUACCAGUUGUCGUGCCAACGGCAUAGCUGGGUAGCUAUGUGUGGACGGGAUAAGUGCUGAAAGCAUCUAAGCAUGAAGCCCCCCUCAAGAUGAGAUUUCCCAACUUCGGUUAUAAGAUCCCU